AUACCAUAGUGUGUCUAUACCAGAGUGUGUCUAUACCGUAGUGUGUCUAUACCGUAGUGUAUCUAUACCGUAGUGUAUCUAUACCAUAGUGUAUCUAUAUCAUAGUGUGUCUAUAUCAUAGUGUGUCUAUAUCAGAGUGUGUCUAUACCAGAGUGUGUCUAUAUCAGAGUGUGUCUAUACCAGAGUGUGUCUAUAUCAGAGUGUGUCUAUAUCAGAGUGUGUCUAUAUCAGAGUGUGUCUAUAUCAGAGUGUGUCUAUAUCAGAGUGUGUCUAUAUCAGAGUGUGUCUAUAUCAGAGUGUGUCUAUAUCAUAGUGUGUCUAUAUCAGAGUGUGUCUAUACCAUAGUGUGUCUAUAUCAGAGUGUGUCUAUAUCAUAGUGUGUCUAUACCAGAGUGUGUCUAUAUCAGAGUGUGUCUAUAUCAUAGUGUGUCUAUACCAGAGUGUGUCUAUAUCAGAGUGUGUCUAUAUCAGAGUGUGUCUAUAUCAGAGUGUGUCUAUACCAUAGUGUGUCUAUAUCAGAGUGUGUCUAUAUCAGAGUGUGUCUAUAUCAGAGUGUGUCUAUAUCAGAGUGUGUCUAUACCAUAGUGUAUCUAUAUCAUAGUGUGUCUAUACCAGAGUGUGUCUAUACCAGAGUGUGUCUAUAUCAGAGUGUGUCUAUAUCAGAGUGUGUCUAUACCAUAGUGUGUCUAUAUCAGAGUGUGUCUAUAUCAGAGUGUGUCUAUAUCAGAGUGUGUCUAUACCAUAGUGUAUCUAUAUCAUAGUGUGUCUAUACCAGAGUGUGUCUAUACCAGAGUGUGUCUAUAUCAGAGUGUGUCUAUAUCAGAGUGUGUCUAUACCAUAGUGUAUCUAUAUCAUAGUGUGUCUAUACCAGAGUGUGUCUAUACCAGAGUGUGUCUAUACCAGAGUGUGUCUAUACCAGAGUGUGUCUAUAUCAGAGUGUGUCUAUAUCAGAGUGUGUCUAUAUCAGAGUGUGUCUAUACCAGAGUGUGUCUAUACCAUAGUGUGUCUAUACCGUAGUGUGUCUAUAUCAGAGUGUGUCUAUACCAUAGUGUGUCUAUACCGUAGUGUGUCUAUAUCAGAGUGUGUCUAUACCAUAGUGUGUCUAUACCGUAGUGUGUCUAUAUCAGAGUGUGUCUAUACCAGAGUGUGUCUAUACCAUAGUGUGUCUAUAUCAGAGUGUGUCUAUAUCAGAGUGUGUCUAUACCAUAGUGUGUCUAUACCGUAGUGUGUCUAUAUCAGAGUGUGUCUAUACCAGAGUGUGUCUAUACCAUAGUGUGUCUAUAUCAGAGUGUGUCUAUAUCAGAGUGUGUCUAUACCAUAGUGUGUCUAUAUCAGAGUGUGUCUAUAUCAGAGUGUGUCUAUACCAGAGUGUGUCUAUACCAUAGUGUGUCUAUAUCAGAGUGUGUCUAUAUCAGAGUGUGUCUAUACCAUAGUGUGUCUAUACCGUAGUGUGUCUAUAUCAGAGUGUGUCUAUACCAGAGUGUGUCUAUACCAUAGUGUGUCUAUACCAUAGUGUGUCUAUACCAUAGUGUGUCUAUACCAUAGUGUAUCUAUAUCAGAGUGUGUCUAUAUCAGAGUGUGUCUAUAUCAGAGUGUGUCUAUAUCAGAGUGUGUCUAUACCGUAGUGUGUCUAUACCAUAGUGUGUCUAUAUCAUAGUGUGUCUAUACCAUAGUGUGUCUAUAUCAGAGUGUGUCUAUAUCAGAGUGUGUCUAUAUC
ensembl:lncRNA